CCUACGGGAGGCAGCAGUGGGGAAUAUUGGGCAAUGGGCGCAAGCCUGACCCAGCAACGCCGCGUGAAGGAAGAAGGCUUUCGGGUUGUAAACUUCUUUUGUCAGGGACGAAGCAAGUGACGGUACCUGACGAAUAAGCCACGGCUAACUACGUGCCAGCAGCCGCGGUAAUACGUAGGUGGCAAGCGUUAUCCGGAUUUAUUGGGUGUAAAGGGCGUGUAGGCGGGAAUGCAAGUCAGAUGUGAAAACUAUGGGCUCAACCCAUAGCCUGCAUUUGAAACUGUAUUUCUUGAGUGCUGGAGAGGCAAUCGGAAGUCCGUGUGUAGCGGUGAAAUGCGUAGAUAUACGGAGGAACACCAGUGGCGAAGGCGGAUUGCUGGACAGUAACUGACGCUGAUGCACGAAAGCGUGGGUAUCAAACAGGAUUAGAUACCCCAGUAGUC
rnacentral:rRNA from 1 species